AUGAUCUCACACACGCCCCUUCUCUGGCUGCUGGUUCUCUGGAUUCAGGACUCCUCUGGGCAAAUUGUGAUGACUCAGUCCCCGGAAUCUCUGGCAGUGCCAGUGGGAGGGAGAGUCUCUAUCAAUUGCAAAGCCAGUACGAGUAUUACCAAUGACAUACACUGGUACCAACAGAAACCCGGACAAGCUCCCAAACUUCUUAUCUACUACGCCACCAACCUCCAGUCGGGGGUCCCAGCCCGGUUCAGUGGCAGUGGGUAUGGCACUGAUUUCACAUUCACCAUCGGCGGCGUAGAAGCUGAUGAUGCUGGAGAUUAUUACUGCCAGCAGAGUAACAGCUUACCUCUCACAGUGAUACAGACCAGUACAAAAACCUCUCUGCUGUAUGCAACACAGUUACUGCUUCCUGCAGAUACAACUGUCUAG